UCAACUCCGACGGAGUGACAAGGAACUUCUACCCUGGUGAUAAACUUCAAUUGUGGCACGACGAAUUGGAGCCGCAGCAUUCGUUAUUGGAUAUACUGAACGCUCCUAGUCCUGAACCGAUGAACAUUUAAUCAAUGGGAGUCAGCUGCCUUUUCAGUAAUCAAAUGGGAGUCACCUGACUUUCUAGUUUUAGGUUGUAUUCAGCUGAAGGGCUUGUUCUUACUGCAUUUAUUUUCUA
rnacentral:lncRNA from 1 species